GGGAACACUAAGUGUACAGACUUUUUAUUCCUCUUUUAUCCAGGACACCAGGUAACAUCAUCACCACUGUCGUUAUACACAGUGUGCACAGUGCCAAACAGCAUCAGAACUACUCAGGAUGCCUGGGAGUGCUUCUAUCCUAGAAAAUCUGUGACAAGUGGAGCUCCUCAGCUGUCAUUUUUUCUAUGGAAAAGCUGAGCAGUGAAACAGUGAGACCAAGCAAAGAGAACUGCAGGCGUUACCCCUUGGUUCAUCUGUCCACUCCUGCCAGAUUCAGGAUGCUCCUGUCCCAAGCCAAUGGAUGUAUUUCUGCAGACUGACUGUGUGGGUACCAUGAGGGGUGGCAUAAAGUUUGGUUUAGAGCAUAA